GAUGAACGCUAGCUACAGGCUUAACACAUGCAAGUCGAGGGGAAACGAUAGAGAAAGCUUGCUUUUUCUAGGCGUCGACCGGCGCACGGGUGAGUAACGCGUAUCCAACCUGCCCAUCACUUGGGGAUAACCUUGCGAAAGUAAGACUAAUACCCAAUGACGUCUCUAGAAGACAUCUGAAAGAGAUUAAAGAUUUAUCGGUGAUGGAUGGGGAUGCGUCUGAUUAGCUUGUUGGCGGGGUAACGGCCCACCAAGACCGCGAUCGGUAGCCGACCUGAGAGGUUGACCGGCCACAUUGGGACUGAGAUACGGCCCAGACUCCUACGGGAGGCAGCAGUGGGGAAUAUUGGGCAAUGGGCGCAAGCCUGACCCAGCAACGCCGCGUGAAGGAAGAAGGCUUUCGGGUUGUAAACUUCUUUUAAGUGGGAAGAGUAGAAGACGGUACCACUUGAAUAAGCCACGGCUAACUACGUG
rnacentral:rRNA from 1 species